rnacentral:rRNA from 1 species
AGUGAACGCUGGCGGUAGGCCUAACACAUGCAAGUCGAACGGCAGCACAGUAAGAGCUUGCUCUUACGGGUGGCGAGUGGCGGACGGGUGAGGAAUACAUCGGCAUCUACCUUUUCGGGGGGGAUAACGUAGGGAAACUUACGCUAAUACCGCAUAUGACCUACGGGGGAAAGCAGGGGAUAUUCGGACCUUGCGCGAUUGAAUGAGCCGAUGUCGGAUUAGCUAGUUGGCGGGGUAAAGGCCCACCAAGGCGACGAUCCGUAGCUGGUCUGAGAGGAUGAUCAGCCACACUGGAACUGAGACACGGUCCAGACUCCUACGGGAGGCAGCAGUGGGGAAUAUUGGACAAUGGGCGCAAGCCUGAUCCAGCCAUGCCGCGUGGGUGAAGAAGGCCUUCGGGUUGUAAAGCCCUUUUGUUGGGGAAGAAAAGCAGCAGGUUAAUACCCCGCUGUUCUGACGGUACCCAAAGAAUAAGCACCGGCUAACUUCGUG